UUAAACGGCACAGCAGUUGAACGACUACAGACAAGUAGGAACACUUUCUGCGUAGGAUCCCUUUUAAUGGCGAGGAUUUUUUAAGUCAAAGAGAAGGUGUUCAUGUAUUCACAUGGACAGGGAAUAGUACUGUUUAUUCAAGUGCCAUAAUGUACAUUAAUGCAUUUUAAAGGGGAUAUUAUUCAUGGAUGCAAAAUAGAUGCAUUCUUUCGGGCCAUCGACACAUCAGAGCAGCACCCUGGAGGGCUUAUUGUAUGGCGGCUUCCAUGGUGACAAAGGGGAGGGGUCUGUGAACCAAGGGAGCAGCCAGUCAGGCAGGAGAGGAGAAUUCCACAGCCAGUGUAAGCCCCAGCUAGCCGGAACCAAUUAUGUUUGUCUGUAGCCUGGUCCCUGAUGUUUCUGACAGCCAAUAGCCAAAGGAGUUGGCUAAAACCCAUACACUCCUGUAGAAGGGGACUAUAUAAUAGCAUAUGCCCCAGGUUUGUGAGCGAUCAAAUAUGUUUUAUUAACAUUCCUAAACAGACAUUGUAUCUGAAUUUUUUUGUAAAUAAACAAAUUCGGGAAUUGGAUUGUUUCCAUUUUGAUAGUCCUUUCAGACCAGCACCAUCGACCAACUGGAGCUCUCUGCUCACUGCCCCUCUCAGUAACCUGUCCCCCAAAGCACCACCAACCAAUCAGCAGGCUUUAAAGACUAUCUUCCUGGACUACAAUUCCCAGGGUGCACCAAGGCUCUCCCCUUUGAUGACAUUUGAGUUUGGAGAGUCUGGAUUAGGUAGAGAAGGGAAUUAUGUCAGGGUACAUCAACCAUAUUAAUGUUAGGCAUGUUGAUGGUAAAACUCUGUGACCUGUAAACUGAUGGACUUUUUAGUUACACUGAACAAAAAAUAUAAAUGCGACAUGUGUCUGUUAUAAAGCCCUUUUGUGGGGGAAAAACUAAUUCUGAUUGGCUGGGCCUGGCCAGUGGGGAAAUCCAUAGAUUAGGGCCCAAUUUAUUUAAAUUGACUGAUUUCCUGAACUGUAACUCUGUAAAAUCGCUUAAAUUGUUGCAUAUUAAGUUUAUUUUUGUUCAAUAUAUAAUAAUGCUAUGGUAAAUGUAAGCAUUUUAUGAUUAUUCCUCGUGACUCCUUGUUUUGUUCCACAGUUUGCCAUGGUUGUUAUGAUAUCAGUAUGUCCACAUAGUUUAGAAUUUCAAGUUGUAAUGUCAUGUGCACAAGUACAGUGAAAUGAAGAACACCAUCCCAACCGUGAAGAACGAGGGUGGCAGCAUCAUGAUGUGGAGGUUCUUUGCUGCAGGAGGGACUGGUGCACUUCACAAAAUACAUGGCAUCGCGAGGAAGGGAAAUUAUGUGGAUAUAUUGAAGAAACAUCUCAAGACAUCAAAGUUAAAGUUUUGUCACAAAUGGGUCUUCCAUGGCUUUUUCCUGGCUGCUAUUUCCUCCACCAUCACUUCAAGCUCUUGUUUACUGGAGUUUUUAUUGAGCUUUCCUUGUUUAUCCAUUUUUGUGGGUUGAUGUAGAGUAGCUAACGUUAGUCUGAUGGCUAUAAUGUGUGAAAAUAAAGUUUUUUGUUUGUGUGUAAAGGGUUUGCGAGCCAACUAAAACAUUUUUAUUCUCGAGACAUAAAACAAAAAAAUCUAUGUAAUAAAAUUGAAAUAUCAACACUUUACUAAAGUGGGCCAAAUCUUA